rnacentral:lncRNA from 1 species
CAGCAAUGUAUCAAAAAAGCUUGAAAUAGUAGAUCAGAAAUGGCCGUGGAACUCCCCUCUAUGUACAGUCUGCCAUGGUAUCCUCAGCAAUCCCAGAUGGAGCCUCACCAGACCACCUCUUCCUAAGAGUUCCUUCCUGUGAUCACAAUCUGAGGCUUCAAUUUCAAAAGAGAAGCCACUGUCCCCAGGAAUCUGUCAGACUGAGAGUCCGCUGUUCAUAGAAAUUUUCAUCCCCAUUGUUGGACUUGAUGUAAAGGCAGCAUCCAGUGCUACCAAGAGCCAUAUGUUCCCAGGUAAGCUAAAAAUAUGACUGUUAUGAGCUGAAAUCUGUUCAUUAAUAAAUGGCAGUGUUUUGGGGGCA